rnacentral:lncRNA from 1 species
AGAAUUUACACACACACACACACCCAAAACAGUGAUUUACAAGGUUUGCACGUGGACACCUCCUCUGCAAUUCCCUGUUACUCCUACUUACGUCUCAACAGCUGACUGAACAAGACUGCAAGCCAUUCAGGCAUUAAGCCUCUAUUAAACCCCGCAUCCACUUGUAGAUUAAAAGCAACAACGUUCGUUCUCAAGAAGAUUUGAAAACAAGCCAUACUGAGCAGCUGACAGACUUUCUCCACGAAGAUGCUUUCACACGGAGCUGGUUUUCUGAUGGUGCCUCAGAGAGGCUCUUCUAGCAGUUUUUGUAUAUCCAGAGAACCAACAAAUCCACGGCAAUAGCCUUCUGAUGUGUUAAUAAAACACCAAGCCAUUUCUGGAGCCAUCCUCUGGCAUACAAGUCUGCGCUUAUUUCUUUGGAUGUUGUCAGUGCUUCUGCUGACACCUGAAAGAAGGUUGGGCACCACGUAACAUCAGCUCAGCUGGGCUGCCUGACCACUGCAGAAGAGAAGCGCGGUGAUGCCCAGCUAACCUAGCUGAAAACCUGCUGAAAUCCUCCCUAGCAGCUAAAACUGAAAAACAGAACAUUCAAGCAGUCAAUCCUGAAACAUCACUGCAAUUUGCUGCCGAGCCCACGGGCUCUCGGAAAUAAUGAAUGUUGAAGAAAAAAAGCCACUCUUCAGAAAGGAAGGUCACACAGAUACCUUACGUGGCAGGUAAUGCCUUCUGUAGCCAGUCUUCUCGGACUAUUCCCGUCAGCGCGUGCUGGAGCACAGCUCACGCCUAUUCAAAGAAACAAAAGAAGAUGUCUCAUCUUUCACUUUCUCCUUCUUCCACGCUGCUGGGAAUUACUGCUCUUCUCCAUUCUGCUUCUCACGUGUUAUCUCUUCCACGUUCCUUAGAGCCUGUGCGCUCCAGUAGAUGGCCUCUGGGAGAAUCAGACAUAAUGGACCCAAUGGCUUUUACCCACGUUUUUACCCAGGACACAACCGUGAAGCACAAACAGCACCAAAAUGGCUUCGCUACGGAUGCGUCCUGAAGGCUCUGGAGGAGCCUACGCUGCAGCAUCUCUUCCAGAUGAUCCCUUAUAGAUGUUGCCUCCAGCUACACCCGCUUGGACAGCAGCGUGGUUGAGCACAAGCUUUCAGAGAGCUGCAACAACAAUUGAAGUUACCUACAUCGUUCCCACGUCCCCUCCAAGACCGUAAAAAUGUACUGAUCUCCUAUCACCUGGACUUGUUAUUUCUCGAUUCCUCCUGCUGCUGUUUCCUUUCAGAGGGCUGAGUUAUCAGAAACCAGUAAUUUAUGAGGGGCAGUGCCUUCCUCAAAGACAUCACCUCUGUCCGAUCGGUAUCUGAAAAACCACCGGGAACCUCUCAAUGAAUCUUUCUGGAUUACAUCCUAAGCAGCUGCUGAUUCUGUCUGAGUAAUAACAGAAGAGAAAUCUGAGAGGAGAAACUGCAGCUGCUGCCACAGCAGAGAGAGCUUAUUGUGAAACGCUGAACUCUCUUGUUUUGACUCUUCUUUUUUGCUGUUGUUGUUUUGGUUUUGUGAGUUAGCUUAAAAAACCCUUUGCUUUGGGUUUGUUUUUGUUUCGGGUUUUUUUGUUUUGGGUUUUUUUGUUUUUUUUUUUUUUUUCCUGAGUGGUGAAUUACGAUGGAAAAUCCACACUGGGAAGUUGAAACCUACCCCCAUAACAGGCAGGUUCCCAUGCAACUGCAGAUGACUUCACCUAUUUUGGUUAGCAACAAAUUAUAGAAUGUCCUUCUCAGUUUUGUCCCUUGUGGUAUUUCCAGUGCCUUUCUAUGUGAGUCAGAUUUUGUGCUGGAGGCGCUGAACCACGAUUUGAGCUAUUUGCCACCAGCACUUGCCUCUUUCCAAUGCACACUGGCUCAGGUCACCUAAAUUUCCAGUGCCACACCGCACCAUAAUCAAAGAUAUCCUCUUACCUGUCUCUAUGGCUAAUGCAUUUUGAUACUAAAUCUCUCAGAGCAGGUAUCAUAUUGGAUUUUUAGGUCCUAUUAUAAUACAAUAACUGAUAACGGGGAACACUGUCUGCAGUAAAAUAUGAUUCCCCAGGCGGCACUUAAUGCAACAUUUCAGUCCUUAAUUACUUGAGACAGAAUCAGAGAGGAAAAAGGGAAAGCCCAGAAUAAAUGGCACAUCUGCUCCUGCAGCCCCCAGGAGGACACUGGAGCUGCCAGGGCUGAAGCCCCUGGGGGGCUCCUCUUGCUCAGGAUGCACAGCAGUGCUGCAGGCAUCCUUCUAUCCACCCUGCUGAGCAGGGCCUUACUGCGUCACACUCGGGGCCAAAAGGUUCUGAGGUGAAUAUUCUCAGGGUAGAUCUAAGUCCAGUCCUACCAUGAAAGGAACUUCAGAAAAGCUCAAGGUUUUGAAAAGAAUUACCAAAGCCCUUUGAGGAUCACAAAAUGCUGCUUCCAUUUGCAUUACAAAGCCACGUGACGCUGAGACUAAGAAUUAAAAUAGAGAGAAGCAGAGUACCUGAUAUUGUAACAUACGUGAACUUCAGGUGGCUAUGGGCAGUGGUGAAAGACGCUAGGUGGAAGUGAGGAGGCUUCCAGGUACCAGAAAGCUUCAAGGGGCUGAAACACUUCUGAUUUCCUCCAACCUCCUUCUUCGCUGCCAAACACCUAAACGAAAUAAGAUAAAAACCAAACAAAUGAAAAUAAAAGCUACCCUUGAGCAGGCGGGUUACUUACCCAUCAGGCAGGACAGGGAAGUUAUUUUCCCCUUUAUCUAUUCCAGGCCCUCCUCCAGAAGUGACAUGCUUUUUCCCUCACUGUGAGAGUUCAGUUAAGCACUUAUCAAGCCCUUUCCAAAUCUGGAAACGCUGAUGUGUCGUGGAAAUACUUCUUUGUUCAGGGGUUACUGGGUGAUUAAUUGCAGUAGCUCCUCAAAGGACAACUUAAUCUGCGUUAACAUUUCACUUGCUUCUCAGUGCCACCGCCGUGUGUGUGUGUUGGGAAGGGUGGAUGGAGAAUCAGGAAGUUAAAAUCAUUUUUACUCUUCUUAUCUCUUGAUGCGUCUUAAGCAACUUCGCUAAAUG